rnacentral:piRNA from 1 species
UCCGCCUGGUGAUUGGGUGACCGC